rnacentral:lncRNA from 1 species
GUGGAGAUUGUUAGAAUUAAGUGACCCAAAUCCUUAUUUAAAUAAAAUACUGUGGUAAAAUAAAAUAAAAGUAAAAUCCCUAUAGAAUUAUACUUCUUUUAUUUUAUUUUAGAAUAAGGUUUCUAAACCUUAUUAAACUCCAUCUAUUUGAUAUUAUUUGAAUAAGGAGUUUCACUCCUAUUAGAAUAAGGUUUACAAGCCUAUAAAUAGGCAUAGUCUACUCCUCUUGUAAUUAAGUUUUCGACAUAGUAAAUUUUC